AGUAGCUCAAUUGGCAGAGUGGCGGUCUCCAAAACCGCAGGUUGGGGGUUCGAUUCCCUCCUGG
rnacentral:tRNA from 1 species